rnacentral:lncRNA from 1 species
AACUCUUUACCAAACUCUUUUCCUGUGAACAGGGCUUCCAAUUUCCAAGCCUGGUGUAAUCUCUCAGUUGCAGUGUGGGGAGGAGCUAGAGAGAGAAGUCUCAAAAGCAUUAGGUUUUGAAGUGAUUGGGAAAUCCUGGAACGGGGAAAGAUUGGUAGCAAGGAGAUCAACCAAUGAUGGUCAUUCUCAAGGCAUGAGGUGCAGAGGCUCCAGUGAGGGGACUGGGAGACAAGACCAAAAAGCAAGGCGCUUACUCCAGAACGGGAUAUUUCUGAGGAAGAAUCAG